GAUGAACGCUGGCGGCGUGCUUAACACAUGCAAGUCGAACGGACAGACCCUGCUUUUGUGCGUUGCUCGAUUGGCGAACGGGGGAGUAAAACGUGUGUAACCUGCCCUUGUCUUUGGGAUAACUUCAGGAAACUGGGGCUCAUAUCGCAUAGAAUCUCCUGCUGCAUGGUGGGGGUUGGUAAGUUUCGGCGGUAGUGGAUGGACUCGAGGCUUAUCCGCUUGUUUGUGGGGUAGUGGCUUACCAAGUGUUUGACGGGUAGCCGGCCUGGGAGGCUUGCCAGGGUCAUGGGGACUGAGGGAGGGACCAGAAUGGUACGGGAGGCAGCAGUGGGGAAUAUGACACAGUGGGCGGAAGCGUGAUGCAGCAACGCCGCGUGCGGAAUGACGGCCUUCGGGUUGUAAACAGCUUUCGCCUGAGACGAAGCGUGAGUGACGGUAAUGGGUAAAGAAGCACCGGCUAACUACGUG
rnacentral:rRNA from 1 species